GACAUCAUAGCCAAGUGGUUACGGCGACAGAUUCGAACUAUGGUUUGAACAUCUGUUUCCCUUCGGGAGCGCAGGUUCGAAUCCUGCUGGUGUCG